rnacentral:lncRNA from 10 species
GUUGCUUGGUUGUCAUAUCUGCCUGUUGCUGUAAGCAGGACCCAAAUGAACAAUGGGCCUGUUCACACUGGAGCCUUUUCCAGAAUGAUACCAUCUGCUUGUGUGAUUCAUCCAUCUGGAGGGAUAUGAAGCGCAAAAGCCAUAGCUGUUUCUCAGCCACAGCCUGGCUACAGGAAGAAACCAAACAAGUCUGGAAGCUACCCUCAAGGCAGAAGAACUAGUAGAGUUGAGAUCUCAUGGGGAAAACAUAGGGGAUAAAGUCAUGGAAGAAGUUAUAAAAGCUGUUUCUCAUAUUAUUUCUCUUCACUAAAAUAAAACAGUAAAGAAGACACUGGAUAAUGAGAAUUACUAAAUGCAGUUCACUAUCUUAAAUUAAUAAUGACAGUUAUUGUGCAAUUAUUUUUCCAUUUGACAUCUAAGUUUUGCUAAAAAACAUUUCAAACUUUUUUCUUCCUCAAAGUUUGUACAAGAUGAAACUUCUAGAUCUGGU